GAUGAACGCUGGCGGCGUGCCUAACACAUGCAAGUCGAACGGAGCUGCUUUGAUGAAGUUUUCGGAUGGAUUUAAAACAGCUUAGUGGCGGACGGGUGAGUAACGCGUGGGUAACCUGCCUCACACUGGGGGAUAACAGUUAGAAAUAGCUGCUAAUACCGCAUAAGCGCACGGUUCCGCAUGGAACAGUGUGAAAAACUCCGGUGGUGUGAGAUGGACCCGCGUCUGAUUAGCCAGUUGGCGGGGUAACGGCCCACCAAAGCGACGAUCAGUAGCCGGCCUGAGAGGGUGAACGGCCACAUUGGGACUGAGACACGGCCCAAACUCCUACGGGAGGCAGCAGUGGGGAAUAUUGCACAAUGGGGGAAACCCUGAUGCAGCGACGCCGCGUGAGUGAAGAAGUAUUUCGGUAUGUAAAGCUCUAUCAGCAGGGAAGAAAGUGACGGUAC
rnacentral:rRNA from 1 species